AGAGUUUGAUCCUGGCUCAGGACGAACGCUGGCGGCGUGCUUAACACAUGCAAGUCGAACGGACUUGAUCCUGCUUUCGGGUGGGUGAAGAGUUAGUGGCGAACGGGUGAGUAACACGUGAGUAACCUGCCCUGGACUCUGGGAUAACAGCGGGAAACUGUUGCUAAUACCGGAUGUCUCCACCGUGUCGCAUGGGGUGGUGGGGAAAACUUUUGUGGUUCAGGUGGGGCUCGCGGCCUAUCAGCUUGUUGGUGGGUGAUGGCCUACCAAGGCGUCGACGGGUAGCUGGUCUGAGAGGACGAUCAGCCACACUGGGACUGAGACACGGCCCAGACUCCUACGGGAGGCAGCAGUGGGGAAUCUUGCGCAAUGGGCGGAAGCCUGACGCAGCAACGCCGCGUGGGGGAUGACGGCUUUCGGGUUGUAAACCCCUUUCAGCAGGGACGAAAUCGGACGGUACCUGCAGAAGAAGCCCCGGCCAACUACGUGCCAGCAGCCGCGGUAAUACGUAGGGGGCGAGCGUUGUCCGGAUUCAUUGGGCGUAAAGAGCUCGUAGGCGGCUGAUCAAGUCGGGUGUGAAACCCUCAGGCUCAACCUGGGGCGGCCAUCUGAUACUGGUCUGGCUGGAGUCCGGUAGGGGACCACGGAAUUCCUGGUGUAGCGGUGAAAUGCGCAGAUAUCAGGGGGAACACCGAUGGCGAAGGCAGUGGUCUGGGCCGGUACUGGCGCUGAGGAGCGAAAGCGUGGGGAGCGAACAGGAUUAGAUACCCUGGUAGUCCACGCUGUAAACGUUGGGCACUAGGUGUGGGGCCUUCCAACGGGUUCCGUGCCGUAGCUAACGCAUUAAGUGCCCCGCCUGGGGAGUACGGCCGCAAGGUUAAAACUCAAAUGAAUUGACGG
rnacentral:rRNA from 1 species